rnacentral:sRNA from 1 species
AUACAGCUGAAGCAACCAAUGGAUGGCCCGUCUUUUUGGGGGGAUGCCUACCGCUGCCAGUUUCCAAGGUGCUGAUUGCAAUUACUUCCGUGUACCGUGUGCCCCAUCCAGAAAGAGGACUGCCGCUGCCGUUGCCGUUGCCGCAUGUUUACGGCCGACCACAUCAGCUUUGGUAAGGGGCAAUGGGGCAGAGACUGGCACUGGCACUGGUACUGGCACUCCGUUAAAAGCAAAAGCAGCAGGCAAUAAUGCCAUUCGCCCACCUCCCACAUGGCAUCGGGGGGGUGGCACCACCAUCCGUGGAUGAAUUGCGUGACUGUGCAACUGGAGCUGUGGAUCUGCAAGGAUAAGCAGCAGCAGGAGAGACUCAAUGAUACGUGGGUGUCCCCGUGUUGCUGUUGCUGUGCGGCACAUGUAUGCCAAAGGUCGUCUGCCAUUUCAAUGGACAAAUAUGAGUGCCAACCUUACCAAAAAUUAAAGAGAAAUGUGUCUAAAAACGUUAAUUGCAAUUCAAAAAAAAAAACAACAAAAAAAACCAUCUGAAAGAUAAACGCAUCUCCGUGCUCGUUGCAUGUACCUAUCGCUAGGAUAUCCAGUGUUAUCAUUGCCGCGAGGACCAGGGCUGCGUUAUACGACACAGUCCUAUACCCGGACACUACUCGAAAAGCGCUGAGUCUGUAUGGCCCUGACAUCUGUCGUCGAAGACUCAUGUUGCCACAUAGGGUUGAAGACCACACCGGCGCAGCGUAUAGCAGAAUCGAGGCCAUUCCUCUAGCCAGGAGUAAGCG